GUUGAAUCAAUCACCAAGGGCGAAGGAUUUAAUCUGUUGUGUUAUGAGUCCUCCAUAAAAACGUAGAAGGACGGGUUUCGGAGUUUCCCAGUGCAGCCGGAGAAAACUUUGAUUUUAAAGGGCUCAUGUGAUUAGGUCCAGCUCAUACAGUCUAUGCUGUUAACUACCAUGAGUAAAAUCCCUCUUCUUCAACGCUCCUGGAUGUCAAGGACAUGCACGCCAAGGAGACAGGAAAUCUUGGGAGCCAUCUAAGAAUUUUGCCCUCUACAAAGAUGGAGCAGGUCUUUGCUUCCUGAAAGGAAGGGCUGAUGCUGAUUAAUUGACAAAAACACAUUUGGAACGAUAAAGUACUUCCCACACAUUCCUGGCCAUCCAGGCACUUAGCAGAUGACAUUCUUCUCUCUCCGACACCCACCUCCCUCCUCAACAAGGUUCGAAGCCCUCAUUAGGACACAACAAAAUCCUUAUCCUUGCUGGGGUCAGGAGUCACGUUUUAUUUAUUUUUUUUUUUUAAAGAUUUUAUUUAUUUAUUUGAC